rnacentral:rRNA from 1 species
GAUCAUGGCUCAGGAUGAACGCUAGCUACAGGCUUAACACAUGCAAGUCGGAGGGGCAGCUAUUUUUAGUUUGCUUGCAAACUAAAGAUGGCGACCGGCGCACGGGUGAGUAACACGUAUCCAACCUGCCGAUAACUCAGGGAUAGCCUUUCGAAAGAAAGAUUAAUACCUGAUGGCAUAGGAUUAUCGCAUGAUAAUCCUAUUAAAGAAUUUCGGUUAUCGAUGGGGAUGCGUUCCUAG